UGAUACUUGAAAUCGUUCUGUGACAUGAUGAUUAGGUAUAUUGCUAAUCACAUUGAAUGAAACUUGGUAGAGCGGGUGGUAUUCAUUCUGACUUUAGUUAUAUUUUAGUUUAGAUUCAGUUGCUAAAAUCCAUUCCCUUUUGUUAGUUAGGAUAUAGAAUCGCUAAUGAAUCAAAAUACACCACCUUACUUGGUUGGUCAGUAGAAUAUAUUUGCACUGUCAUCUCUACAUCAUGUCUGUCUUCGUA
rnacentral:misc_RNA from 1 species